rnacentral:rRNA from 1 species
CCUACGGGAGACAGCAGUGGGGAAUCUUGGGCAAUGGAGGAAACUCUGACCCAGCAACGCCGCGUGAAUGAUGAAGGUCCUCGGAUUGUAAAGUUCUUUUCUAAGGGAAGUAGAAAGUGACGGUACCUUAGGAAUAAGCCUCGGCUAAAUACGUGCAAGCAGCCGCGGUAAUACGUAGGAGGCGGGCGUUAUCCGGAAUGACUGGGGGUAAAGGGUGCGUAGGUGGUUUGGCAAGUUAGUAGCGUAAUUCAAAGGCUCAACCUUGGAACUACUACUAAUACUGUUGGGCUUGAGUGCAGGAGGGGCAAGCGGAAUUCCUAGUGUAGCGGUGAAAUGAGUAGAUAUUAGGAAGAACACCAGUGGCGAAGGCAGGUUACUAGACUGUAACUGACACUGAGGCACGAAAGCGUGGGGAGCAAACAGGAUUAGAUACCCCAGUAGUC